rnacentral:misc_RNA from 1 species
GAAGUGCGAUAAGCAAUGCGAAUUGCAGAAUUCCGCGAGUCAUCAGAUCUUUGAACGCAAAUGGCGCCGGAGGGAUAUCCUUCUGGCAUGUCUGUUUCAGUGUCUGAGAGGUUUCACCAACACCUUAAUGUGAUUGACCCAGAAGGGAAGGAAGGUGGCAAUAGCUACUUUCCUUCUCUCUUAGGGUCUCUCAUGAAAGAUGCGCGAGUGGAUCUUUCGGUCCAAUGAAGUGGUCACAUCACUCGUAUGUGAUUUCAUUGGGAGCACCGAAUUAUCCGCCAUACUCGCGGUUACUUAUCAAAAACAAUAGAAUAUUAUUAUUCUGUGUUUUUGGUUUUCUCUCUCUACACCCUGCAUCUGAGACAGGCAAGAUCACCCGCUGAACUUAA